AGCAGCCGCGGUAAUUCCAGCUCCAAUAGCGUAUAUUAAAGUUGUUGCAGUUAAAAAGCUCGUAGUUGAAUUUUAGGUCCUGGCCGGGCGGUCCGUCUUUGGCGAGUACUGUCCUGUGUCGGGUCCACCUUCUGGUGAACCAGUAUGUCCUUUAUUGGGUGUGCCGGGGAGCCAGGACCAUUACCUUGAAAAAAUUAGAGUGUUUAAAGCAGGCAUUUGCUUGAAUAGAUUAGCAUGGAAUAAUAGAAUAGGACGUUGUGGUUCUAUUUUGUUGGUUUCUAGGACCACCGUAAUGAUUAAUAGGGAUAGUUGGGGGCACUAGUAUUCAAUUGUCAGAGGUGAAAUUCUUGGAUUUAUUGAAGACUAACUAUUGCGAAAGCAUUUGCCAAGGAUGUUUUCAUUAAUCAAGAACGAAAGUUAGGGGAUCGAAGACGAUCAGAUACCGUCGUAGUCUUAACCAUAAACUAUGCCGACUAGGAAUCGGGCGACGUUAUUUUUCAUGACCCGCUCGGCGCCUUAU
rnacentral:rRNA from 1 species